UUGAACCACUAUUUUUGUCUUUUUGAGAAUGUCAUUCAGUAUAAAACAUGUUAUUUGUGAAGGGAAGCUUAAAUGUAACUGAUGGCUUUGCUAGUAGCCAUUAUGAAUAACAGAAAGAUUCUAAACCGGGAACCUGGUAUCAUCAACAUGGUAGGAGACAAUAAUCAUAGAUUCAUAUAUUGUAUCAGCCUCAGAACUUCUAUCAGUUUGCUAGGAAGAGUGUUAGCCAAAUUAUAAGACUAAUGCUUAAGGACUAGUGCCAAUCUUUAAGCAACUGAAUCGUAAGAAAUAAUAGACUGUAAAGUUACCAUCUGUGGUUCAUGGUCAUUUCAUGGGGACUGUUAACAUGGACAGUGAGGAGGAAAUGCACUAAGCUGAAAACUGCAGAACCGCACAAGAGAUGAUUUUCAACAGAUUAGAGAGCAACUACGCUCUGUUUCCACUGUAUUGAUCAGCAAUAUAAUUUUCUGG
rnacentral:lncRNA from 1 species